rnacentral:lncRNA from 1 species
CAAUUUUCCUCCAAACAUCCAAGCAGGGAGGAGGAUACCAACUUCUCAGCUUCUUCUCCUGCUUUCCUCUGGACUAACUCCUCCCCACUCUUGUGGGGAGGUAUUUAUCCAUUCUGCCCAGUGGUACCACUUUUCUGAACAGAAGCAUGGCAGCUGA